rnacentral:rRNA from 1 species
GGACCCGCACAAGUAGUGGAGCAUGUGGUUUAAUCGAAGAUACGCGCAGAACCUUACCAACACUUGACAUGUUCGUCGCGACUUUAAGAGAUUAAAGUUUUCGGUUCGGCCGGACGAAACACAGGUGCUGCAUGGCUGUCGUCAGCUCGUGUCGUGAGAUGUUGGUUAAGUCCGCAACGAGCGCAACCUCACUUUUAGUUGCCAUCAUUAAGUUGGGCACUCUGAAAGAACUGCCAGUGAUAAGCUGGAGGAAGGUGGGGAUGACGUCAAGUCCUCAUGGCCCUUACGUGUUGGGCUACACACGUGCUACAAUGGUAUCUACAACAGGAGGCAAAAACCGCGAGGUU